GCUAUCUGUUGCCAGCAAGUGAUGUUGGGGACGUCAGAUGGAACUGCCGGUGACAAACCGGAGGAAGGUGGGGACGACGUCAAGUCAUCAUGGCCCUUAUGUCCUGGGCUACACACGUGCUACAAUGGCCGGUACAGAGCGCAGCGAAGCCGCGAGGCAAAGCGAAUCGCAAAAAGCCGGUCUCAGUACGGAUUGGAGUCUGAAACCCGACUCCAUGAAGUUGGAAUCGCUAGUAAUCGCGCAUCAGCAUGGCGCGGUGAAUACGUUCCCGGGCCUU
rnacentral:rRNA from 1 species